GAUGAAGAACGCAGCGAAAUGCGAUAAGUAAUGUGAAUUGCAGAAUUCAGUGAAUCAUCGAAUCUUUGAACGCACAUUGCGCCCCUUGGUAUUCCGAGGGGCAUGCCUGUUCGAGCGUCAUUAUAACCCCUCAAGCUCAGCUUGGUGUUGGGGCCUGCUGCACUGGCAGCCCUUAAAAUCAGUGGCGGCGCCAUCUGGCUCUAAGCGUAGUAAUUCUUCUCGCUAUGGAGUCCUGGUGGAUGCUUGCCAUCAACCCCCAAUUUUUCUAUGGUUGACCUCGGAUCAGGUAGGGAUACCCGCUGAACUUAAGCAUAUCAAUGCGGAGGA
rnacentral:misc_RNA from 1 species